GGACGGUCCCAGGCUGAUCCCCGGACGAGCAAUCCUGGAACCAGUCCCGGCCUCAGCGCUGACUCCGGCAUUCCCACAUUCCCGGAUUCCUGGUAUUCCCGGAUUCCUGGUAUUCCCGGAUUCCUGGUAUUCCCGCAUUCCCGGAUUCCCGCAUUCCCAUAUUCCGGCAUUCCCGGAUUCCCGGAUUCCUGGUAUUCCUGGAUUCCCGGAUUCCUGGUAUUCCCGCAUUCCCACAUUCCCGCAUUCCCGCAUUCCCGCAUUCCUGGAUUCCUGGUAUUCCCGGAUUCCUGGCAUUCCCACAUUCCCGGAUUCCCGGAUUCCUGGAUUCCUGGUAUUCCCGCAUUCCCACAUUCCCGCAUUCCCGCAUUCCCGGAUUCCGGCAUUCCUGGAUUCCUGGAUUCCUGGUAUUCCCAGAUUCCCGGUAUUCCCGCAUUCCCGGAUUCCUGGUAUUCCCGGAUUCCUGGCAUUCCCACAUUCCUGGAUUCCUGCGUUCCCGGAUUCCCGGAUUCCUGGUAUUCCCGUAUUCCCGGAUUCCUGGAUUCCUGGUAUUCCCGCGUUCCCGCAUUCCCGGAUUCCCACAUUCCCGCAUUCCUGGAUUCCCACAUUCCCGCAUUCCCGGAUCCCCGCAUUCCCGCAUUCCCGGAUUCCCCCAUUCCCACAUUCCCACAUUCCCGCAUUCCCGGAUUCCCGGAUUCCCAUGUUCCCGGAUUCCCGGAUUCCUGGCAUUCCCACAUUCCCGGAUCCCCCCAUUCCCGCAUUCCCGGAUUCCCGGAUUCCCAGAUUCCUGGCAUUCCCGGAUUCCCGGAUCCCCGCGUUCCCACGUUCCCGCAUUCCCACAUUCCCGCAUUCCCGCAUUCCCCCAUUCCCGCAUUCCCGGAUUCCUGGCAUUCCCGCAUUCCCACAUUCCCGCGUUCCCGCAUUCCCGGAUUCCCAGAUUCCUGGCAUUCCCGCAUUCCCACAUUCCCACAUUCCCGCGUUCCCGGAGUCAGCAGGAGCUGGCCUGCAGGCUGGCCUCGCUCAGCAGGGAGGCGAUGCCGGCGGAUCCGAGUUCCUCAUCCGAGCUCAGCCGCUCGUCCCGCAGCGCCGAGUCCACGGCGCGGCGCCUGCC
rnacentral:lncRNA from 1 species